rnacentral:lncRNA from 1 species
GCCAGCCCCGCGCUCUGCCGGGCAGAGCGCGUGCGGCAGCCGAGCACAUGGGCCCGCGGGCCUGGCGGGCUCGGGGCGGCGGGGACUAAGAGGAGCCGCGAGCGACGAUGAGAUCUCGCAGGUCCCGGAACCCUCCGAGUGGAUUUUCAUGCAAAAAGGAUGAUGGGGGCCUCCGUGACCUGUAAGACCCGGCUGGACCCACCCUCCAUGCGGAUCUCUGGCAGCCAUGCCUGUUUUCAAGCAGUGCCCAGUCCUGUGUUGGAAAUGUUAACUCUUCCUGCAAAUCAGGAUGGUGAAUGCAGUCAGAUGGAGUGUGGCUGGAGGAGGGGCAGAUGUUUACUUAGAAGUCACAUCCCAGAAAGGAGAAGGCUGUGUGCAGGAAGGGGUCAUGUUGCUAGAUGCAUUUCGGGAUGAAGUGGACCACAAGGAAGCAUGAUGAAGAGGAAGCACCUUAAGGAGAGAGAUGACAGUCUGUGAUGUGACAAGCUCAAAAGGCAUGUAUCUUCCAGGGAUUAUGGAAGGCCUAUGUGUAGAGGGAGUCCAGCUCGUCAUUAGAUAGUGAGUUUUACCUACUUAGUAUAAGAAAGUUGAUGGUUUUCUCUUUCAUUCUUUUCUUUACUGUCUCCUCCUUCUCUUUUUGAAACCUGCCU